rnacentral:rRNA from 1 species
AUUAGUGGCGAACGGGUGAGUAACACGUGAGUAACCUGCCCUUGACUCUGGGAUAAGCCUGGGAAACCGGGUCUAAUACUGGAUACGACCUUCUGGCGCAUGCCAUGUUGGUGGAAAGCUUUGUGGUUUUGGAUGGACUCGCGGCCUAUCAGCUUGUUGGUGGGGUAAUGGCCUACCAAGGCGACGACGGGUAGCCGGCCUGAGAGGGUGACCGGCCACACUGGGACUGAGACACGGCCCAG